UACGUAGGUGGCGAGCGUUGUCCGGAAUUACUGGGUGUAAAGGGCGUGUAGGCGGGGAUGUAAGUCAGAUGUGAAAUACCGCAGCUUAACUGCGGGGCUGCAUCUGAAACUAUGUUUCUUGAGUGUCGGAGAGGAAAGUGGAAUUCCCAGUGUAGCGGUGAAAUGCGUAGAUAUUGGGAGGAACACCAGUGGCGAAGGCGACUUUCUGGACGAUAACUGACGCUGAGGCGCGAAAGCGUGGGGAGCAAACAGGAUUAGAUACCCUGGUAGUCCACGCUGUAAACGAUGGAUACUAGGUGUAGGAGGUAUCGACCCCUUCUGUGCCGGAGUUAACACAAUAAGUAUCCCACCUGGGGAGUACGGCCGCAAGGUUG
rnacentral:rRNA from 1 species